GAUGAACGCUGGCGGCGUGCCUAAUACGUGCAAGUCGAGCGAACGGACGAGAAGCUUGCUUCUCUGAUGUUAGCGGCGGACGGGUGAGUAACACGUGGAUAACCUACCUAUAAGACUGGGAUAAAUUCGGGAAACCGGAGCUGAUACCGGAUGAUAUUUUGAACCGCAUGGUUCAAAAGUGAAAGACGGUCUUGCUGUCACUUAUAGAUGGAUCCGCGCUGCAUUAGCUAGUUGGUAAGGUAACGGCUUACCAAGGCAACGAUGCAUAGCCGACCUGAGAGGUUGAUCGGCACACUGGAACUGAGACACGGUCCAGACUCCUACGGGAGGCAGCAGUAGGGAAUCUUCCGCAAUGGGCGAAAGCCUGACGUUGCAACGCCGCGUGAGUGAUGAAGGUCUUCGGAUCGUAAAACUCUGUUAUUAGGGAAGAACAUAUGUGUAAGUAACUGUGCACAUCUUGACGGUACCUAAUCAGAAAGCCACGGCUAACUACGUG
rnacentral:rRNA from 1 species